rnacentral:rRNA from 1 species
GGGUACGGGCAGACUAGAGUGCAGUAGGGGAGACUGGAAUUCCUGGUGUAGCGGUGGAAUGCGCAGAUAUCAGGAGGAACACCGAUGGCGAAGGCAGGUCUCUGGGCUGUAACUGACGCUGAGGAGCGAAAGCAUGGGGAGCGAACAGGAUUAGAUACCCUGGUAGUCCAUGCCGUAAACGUUGGGCACUAGGUGUGGGGACCAUUCCACGGUUUCCGCGCCGCAGCUAACGCAUUAAGUGCCCCGCCUGGGGAGUACGGCCGCAAGGCUAAAACUCAAAGGAAUUGACGGGGGCCCGCACAAGCGGCGGAGCAUGCGGAUUAAUUCGAUGCAACGCGAAGAACCUUACCAAGGCUUGACAUGUUCUCGAUCGCCGUAGAGAUACGGUUUCCCCUUUGGGGCGGGUUCACAGGUGGUGCAUGGUUGUCGUCAGCUCGUGUCGUGAGAUGUUGGGUUAAGUCCCGCAACGAGCGCAACCCUCGUUCCAUGUUGCCAGCACGUCGUGGUGGGGACUCAUGGGAGACUGCCGGGGUCAACUCGGAGGAAGGUGAGGACGACGUCAAAUCAUCAUGCCCCUUAUGUCUUGGGCUUCACGCAUGCUACAAUGGCCGGUACAAUGGGUUGCGAUACUGUGAGGUGGAGCUAAUCCCAAAAAGCCGGUCUCAGUUCGGAUUGGGGUCUGCAACUCGACCCCAUGAAGUCGGAGUCGCUAGUAAUCGCAGAUCAGCAACGCUGCGGUG